CGAACGCUGGCGGCGUGCUUAACACAUGCAAGUCGAACGCGAAAGCAUCUCUUCGGAGAAGCGAGUAGAGUGGCGCACGGGUGAGUAACGCGUAGAUAAUCUACCCUCAUAUUUGGGAUAACCACUCGAAAGGGUGGCUAAUACCAGAUACGCUUAUGACGUAGCGAUGCGACAUAAGGAAAGGUGACCUCUCAGAGAAGUUGCCGUAUGGGGAUGAGUCUGCGUACCAUUAGCUAGUUGGUGGGGUAAAAGCCUACCAAGGCAUCGAUGGUUAGCGGGUCUGAGAGGAUGAUCCGUCACACUGGAACUGGAACACGGACCAGACUCCUACGGGAGGCAGCAGUGAGGAAUAUUGCGCAAUGGGGGAAACCCUGACGCAGCGACGCCGCGUGAGUGAAGAAGGCCCUUGGGUUGUAAAGCUCUGUCAGGUGGGAAGAAGUACAUUAUGGUUAAUAGCCAUAGUGUUUGACGGUACCACCAGAGGAAGCACCGGCUAAAUCC
rnacentral:rRNA from 1 species